GAAACUUGAAAAAAUAAUAUGAAAGGAGGAAGAGUUUAUGAAAAUAAUCCUCAGCCCAGAAACAAGUCUUGGCUAAAGCUUGGGUCUUGCCUCAGACAACUUAGCCUUGAGCAAGGCUAAAAGUCACGCACAGUAGCAGAUUUAAAUUAAAAUGUUUGCUUUUUAAAUAUGUAAAAAAGAUAUCAUUCAAGCCAAGAUGUGGGGCCAAAAUAAAGGGGAACAUACUCUAGAAAGCUUGGGAUAAACUAAAAAUAUGGAAAAAGAUCCUAAUAAAUAAAGAAAAAAACCUUAUCUCCUUUUAUAUAAAGAGGGCGACUGUCAAAGCAGAAUCAUCAUCUCUCUUCUUCUCGAUGUCGUACACAACAUCUUCUACUGCUUCUGUAAUUUUUUUUUCAUCUUUCUUCUUUCUACUACUCUCUAAGAACUCAUUUGUGUUAAAAAGUCCACCAUAGUAGUUGAUUUAUAUUUCUUUUCCUAGUUAAUAGAUCUUCCGAUCUCCAAUAAUGUAUUUAUGAGAUCUAAUCGAAUUAAUUUGAGGUUUAUUUUAGAGCUAGUAUUUAUUUACUUCUUGCACCUAUAUAUAUUUGUUGUCUUGAACCCGUUUGAAUAGGACCUGUCAUAUGAGAUGAGAAACUAAAAGAAGAUAGCUGAACCUCUCAAAUUUGUAAUUGUUUGAAUGGUUUCGACAUCAAGUAGUGAUCAGUGCUACACUAAGGAGGUAAAUAUUCUAGUUGACCAGUUCACGCAGAUGAAUCCGACAACUUGAAUCAGGUCCUUCUAGCUCUCAAAGCCGUUGAAAAGUUAAAUUCUGUGGGUGUUUCUAUGACUGCUUGGCAAUGAAGAACCAACUAAUGAAUAUUUAUUUAUUGGUUUAUGAAUAAAGAAGGAUUGGUUGUCCGAACAUUUUCGACAGCUAUAACUAAUUUGCCAUAUUUUGGUUAAAACGCACCCUUGCAUGUAUGAUCAAUUACGUUACCAGAGCUAACUAUUUCAUCGAUUAUGAAUUCUUCUUAU
rnacentral:lncRNA from 1 species